CAAAUUACACUUUUUAUAUGAUCAGCAUCAUUGUUUUCACUGUCUGUGAAAGUCAAUCCCUAAGAAAAACGGAAAAAAGCCUAAAAAUGGGAAAGUUGGUCAUGUAGCCGUGAAUAACUAAGAGAGAUCAUUCUUUGGCUCCUCUCACUUUCUGCUUCUCUCAGUUUUAAUGUUGGUUAUGAUAAAGGGCAGCAGCUUCAGCCUGCCAGCCACUGGUAUUCAGAAAGGAUCCCUUCCAUCAGAUUUCAACUCUGGGUUUACAGUUCAAAUGAAUAGGGGGAAAAUCAGCGUCUUCAUUUGUUCACUCAUUUGGAAACAACAAGAAAAAGCCCUAAGGUUCCUUCUUUGGCCUACAGCAAUAGUGAAUCAUGCUAUUUUAUCCGAUAGUGUAAACAUGAUGCUGAUCUGAAAAUGAGCCAAUAAAAAAAAUAAGCUAAUUAAUAACUAACAUAAAAAGAAAAGCUAUAUUGCUGUCUCCACAUGGAUACUACAUGUAAUGUAAAUCCUCGUGACUUAUGUAAUGUUUUGAAAGGUUACAGAUGUCCUAAGCUCCUCUUCUAAUUACUCUGUAAAAGUAGUGAUAGACUUGAUCACCUUUUUCGAUCACUUUCCUCAGCCCGAGUUGUUGAUUUACUGGUAUGUUACAUUAUUUUUUGCUUCUAGAGAAACACGUCACUGCAGAACUUUACAAUAAGCUGGAGACCUACAGACUUAGCAACACUCCUGGCACUGGGAGAGUUGGCUGGGGACUGGCAACUGAUUUAGCAGUACAUGAACUGGUCCCCUCACGGUUUUAAGAGUUGCAGGAUUCCAGGUUACAGACAGCUGGCUGGGUGCAAGAACACUGCCGAUACUGAUCCUGUAGCCUUAGAGCAGCUACAUCUCCUGCAACAUCUCUCUCAGCCAGAGAGGGUCAGGUAAUGGAUGGAAAACCAAAGCAGAAAAAUGACUUUCUACCAAAAAGUCGGUGAUGAAAACUACAACACAGACAGACAAAAAAGCUGUCAGUUGGUAGCAGCCAAGGCAGUAGGGAGAGGACCACAAGGCAACAGCUGUCAGAGAAGUGUAAUCCAGACAAUCAGCUCAUUAAUAUUGUGUGUGCAUGAUGAAACAAAAAAGUAGAAAACAUAAAAGGAAAAAAGGAAGAAAAAACAUUUUGGUAGCUGUUUGUUCUAAAUAAAUCUCUACAGGAUUCCUUCUCCUCUCUCUCAAGCUCUACAGCAUGGAGUAAAGGUGCAAAAUAUUGGAGUUUGUGAGAAUAUCUGAACAGCUUUUCAAGCCCUUACUGAAAAGCGCAGCAGUUCUGUCACCAGUUAUCCCUGGAGUUGAACGAUCAUGCUGGUGUGACCAAUGCUACCAUGACAAAUAAAGCUGGACUCUGUUACUCUGUUAUUUUACUUAACGCUUCCCUGGUUGUGAAAAGCCAUGAAAACCAGUGGUGCUGACUUUAGCUUGGCAUGGAGAUCCUCUGGGCAACAUGGGAUGCCGCACAUAAACCAUCUCUACCUUCCCCCAGUUCAGGAGCACGUCCAGAAAAAAUGGCUUCGUUCCGCUUCUGCUCUCCUUUGUCCAUCCAGGUGCAGCCACUGCAGACAUGCUGCUGGUUUGUCUGUACAACAAAUCCUCUAGCAGCAACCUGUUCCUCUAGCCGAUACAACUGAAGGCAAACCUGUGCCCUGGCUGGUAGCCCAGCCGCACCCCACAAAAAUGCAGCUCUUCCUGUGUAACUGCUUCUGCAGGAGGGCUAUUCCCAGGUAGGGGAUAACAUCUUUUCACUCUUCACAGACCUACCUAGGCUACAUGAAGCCUGCAACACAGAUACAGCUGAAGUCAAAGCAGCCAGACAUAAACCAAACAUAAAAAUGGCUUAAAGCUGCCUGGCCUUUUUUUUUUUUUUUUUUUUAAUUGUUUUUAAUCCAUCAAGAACUGUUGGGACCAAACAGAUUCACACCCAGUACAGCGGUCCAUGGCCAGCUACGCCUCUAAAAUAUACCUCCAGCACCCUGGGGGCUGCUGCUGCAGCUUGGCAAAUAGCAUGAGGGUUUGCUCAGCUGCUGGCCAGGAAAAACAGCAGAAACAGGGCCGAGAGCGCUGCUCGAGAAAAGACAGGUGGAUAGGCAAGGUACACUGCUGCGACUCAGAGGCCUUCAGCUCUGCUUCCGUGUUAUGGAAGAAAUCUGUUUAGCUGAAUAAAGAGGUGAAGUGCCAUGGAGCCGAGGGCCAGCUGCAGACAAGCAGAGGCCUGCGGCCUAGUCAGUACUUUGGAGGUUGCCUGGCAACAGGCGGGCUGCUGCAGGCUGAAGCUGCAGGGAAUUAGCAGGUUUACUGUCAAUUUGUCUUCUGUGGGACCGGGGAGGUGUCCCCUGAAAGGCAGGGGGAGAAGAGCAAUGCCUCGAUAAGCUGACACGGCGGGCAUCUUCUAAGGGUGCUUCCCGAGGGUGAGGGAGGCUGUAAUUAAAGUGGCAAAGGGGCUUUGUCCUGCCUGUGUCCUCCUAAACUCCAAAGCACACCUGGCAUGUUAAUAAUUCAGCCUUGAUUAAAAUGAUGUCCAUUCCAGUCACCUCACGGGUUAAUUACUUGUUAACAAUCUUAAAUAGCUCAAACCCAAUCAUAUCAGACUACCCUUGCUAUGUAAGUGACAGUUGACUGUACACUGCAUUUUCAGAAUUAUUUAACACAUUUCCCCAUUAAUUCAGCUCUGGGUUAUCUUGAUGCCAUCUCAGCAUUCACUUAAGGAAUUUGCUCCCUGUGAAUCUUUCAAGUAACUGAAUCUCAGCUUUACAGACCCACUUAUUCUGGCCAAAUAAUUCUUCAAAAUCAUGUUGCUUCUCCAGCCUUCUGCAACAACCCCAUGCGGCCACCGAGGAUCAUUACACAGACAGCAGCUAUUACAGAGAACAGAGUAAUGAGAACAGCAAGAACAACGUGGGUACACAUUUCAUGGAAAUAGGAGCCUCGAAUAGGAGUUUUGAAUGAAAGAUUUCUCCGGGUCACUUAAUCUGGAGCCAGAUUGCAACAGCUAAUUGGUUUCCACUGCUAAAUGCAUAUGAAGCUGGUCCCUCACAGUUGUGGAUCCCCGCUCCACAACCAGCAGGAAGGUGGUGCAAGAAGGCAGGCAGGUCAGGAAAGGAAUGCUAACUGGACCUUUCCCCUGCUUUUUACACACAAAAAGAGCAGCGGUAACUUGUUUUACAAGCCAUCAUGUUUUGUAGCAGUAAAUUACCGAUUGUAGAGUACAUUGGCCGUUUUCAAACCGCAUAAUUACGGGCAUGAUUUCUGGGUCCUUGGGGAGCUACACAUGUUGAGGCACCUCUGGCAAUGUUUUGUUUUCCUAUUUGUCUGGGGUUGGAAAGAAGGCAACUGAGGCUUCCUGAUUUGGCAAACAUUUAGGAGAGAUGCCCUCCAUUUCCUUAAUGAGCCUAUUAAGAGAAUCUAUCAAAGGUGUAAGGAUGAGUCUCAGAGGAAAGAAACACGGAGAGAGAACAGAUUGUCCUGAGAUAUUCACAGUACAUAAACACAAGAAAACAACCUAUAGGCAACUAUAAUCGGUUGGGAACAAUGUGAUCACGUUGCUGGAGAAGUACAUCAAUCUCAUACACCUGGAUGCUCUUUCUUUUUGCUCGGCCAAAGAGCUGUGUCUGAGCAUACAGCUUCUGAACUUGAGCAAAAUGAGUGACUUAAGAGAGAUGUGCUUAUUUCAGGUCAUAUGAACCAAACACUAACAAAACUCAAAAGGGAGUUAAUUUUCCACCUUUCCUAAAUGAAUCUUUGCCAACGUGCAUUUCAGGUUUUAACCUCCCCAGAGAGUUUAAAAAAUGUUGCUGUAUUCAUACAAAUAUACUAGUUAUAGGGCGAAGCAACACACAGCAACUGGCUCACAUCACUCUCUACCACACAGGCUUUUAUUUAAAAGAUUAGCUAUGACCCAACACUGCUCAUUUUCCACUGCUUAGCCCCAGUUUACGGGGAAGCAGUCUUCCUUGCAUGGCAAGCAGCUGCCUGCGCUGCCUGCAGAGGCCAGCUCAAGUAUAUGCAGGAUAGAGAGUAUAUUAAGAGCAGAAGAGAAGGGGAAGCUGGAAGAGCAGACAGGAUCAACAAUGCUUAGGAGCUUGAAGGACGACGAGAUGUAUUAAAACAUAUGCUUAUUUCUCUUAAAAUGUCAUUCUGUCAACCAUCAUGGUUUCCAGACUUUCAGAAUUUAAUUAUGUUGUAAUUACUUCCUAUUUGGACAAGGCCACAAAACUAAAAGCUCGGUAUCUUCUUGGACAAGGCCACUAAACUAAAAGCUCAGUAUCUUCCUACAUUACAGUUUACUGUAUGUUCUUUACAAUUCUGUAGCAGCUAAGUUUCCUUUCUUUAUGUCAACAAAUUUGCCUUUAGAAUAAAAAUACCAGUUUAGGUCCAUUAGUGUAGUGUUAUUUCCAAAAAGUAUAGACUUGCUUAUCCUCCUGUGAAUCCUUAUAACUUGCUUUUUAUCAUAAAAGCAACAAAAAGAAAACAAAUACAAAACCCAGACACACCUAACCCUAAGGCAGGUGCUUUUUCAACACAUGCCCUCCUGGAUGAGUAAGGACCUAUGAAAUCCUUCACCUCACUGACUUGAAAUCAUUCUUCAUUUUUUUCCACCUCUCCCCCGACCCCAAAUUCCCAUGAUGGUACAAGAUCUUGUAUAGCAUUCUCAUACUGUGGAUCAAAGGCUGGAAACCUGUAAGGCAUACAGGUAGAUAGUUCACCUGUUUAAACAGGUAGUCUGUAAACAUUGUUUGUGACACAGUAAUUCUAUCAGACAUUAUUCUUACUGAAAUGUUGUGGAUGUUACAAUAAAGAAAGCUGGAAGGAAAACAAAGAGGGACUCCUGGCUGCUCCCAGCAGAGCAGGGUUCCUGAUGAGCACUAUGUGCGCUCUCAGCCCAGCACUCAAUCUAUAAAUGUGCUGCUUGUUUCCUGCUCACUUAGGCCAUUAGGGCCUCAGUCUGCUUCCGGAGGAGAAGCUGCCAGAUGGAGAGAGAUUGAUGAGCGCAAGCAGAAUGCAAGACGGAUUUCUGGCAUGUUCCACAGCCACCUGUCCUCCUAAUUCACCUCGGAGUGAAUCGGUGGUGUCUGUGAUGAUCCCUUUCACUUCAGGUCAGGAGCUCCUCUGCUGUCAGAGAGCAAGAGGAGGAGGAUUUUUGAGGGUUACCCAGUCCAGGCAGCACCUCGAUCCCCAGCACACCCUCCUGUGGCCACUUCCUCCAGUCUUGCCCAGGCAUCUGUUGGUCGAGUCCCGAAGUGGUCAGGAUUGUCACAGCAGCUGGAGAGAAGGCUCUGGUGCAUCUCAGGGCAGAAUGACAAAACAGGUUGCAAAAAGAGAUUCCACUGGGCUAGAGAGUCACUGCCUUGGCAUGAGCCCAUCAUCAAAGCACCCUGCUGGGGGAGACGCAAACUGUCCCCAGCAAGAUGUACUUUCUUGAUCCAUGUCCUUCCUCCUCAGAAAGGAACAUUCCCUGCUUCAAGCUGUGCUUGGAAAAGGAAAGAACAAAUUAUGUACACUUGGAGGAAGUUCUUUACAACACACGCUUGAAUUUCACCUUGUAUUACAAGAGAAACAAAAGCCCAAAGUGCCUCUGAACAUCCUGCUGCUAUUCAAAGUGAUGAGAUUUGUGUCCAUAUGGGCCUAUGUAAGGAUGACUGUUUUCUUCCUUGCAACCAGUUUGCUAGGAUCUAUAUUCUGCAGGUAUCGAACUGCAGCUCCUCAGUGCAAGAAGCUCCCUUUCAUUUCUACGUCACGAAUAAAGAAAUCACAUGUACUAUUUUCAGGACUACUUAAAGUAAUACAGCACCGAGAGGGUGAUGAUUUUUCUCAUUUCUGACAGGUCACACAGAUUGCAAAGUCAUCAAAACUAACAGCCUGACAAUAUUUUUUUCUUGUGCCAUUAACAGUGGAAAAAGAGCCUAAAGUGAGGAAGAUAGCUUAUCAGAAGAUGCAGAUGUUAUUGAACACAGUAUCUUGCAACCAGCUACCUUUGGGGAGAGAGGGAGCAUGUCAGCGUGAGCAGGCAGGACGAAGCAUUCUCGUUAGCCACUUAGGAAUCAAAGCCUUGAUCCAUUUCCAAUUUCUUCCGUGACUGUUGACUAGCUGAGAUAAUCGAUAUUCCCUACUGUGUAAGGAUGAAGCAUCGCAUGAGGCACAAUCAGGUGGCUUUCUCAGACUGCUGUAAAAUUGUUCCUCAGGAGGAUGGACGAUAAGGUCAUUGAUCUUGUGCUCUAAGCUAUGGGUUAACAAAAGGAUUUCUGGGAUUAAGAAAGAGCUGUUCAGACAAUCACUUGACUCUGCUAAGAACUUUAGCUAUAGUUUUAUUUUUCUUAGAGGUCAAGGCCUCCAAGCUAUGUCAGCCACAUCAUAUUUCUGUUCAUGGAAGCACACCUCUAUUUCUUGUUUGGGAAAGGAGCGAAGAAUAUCCCCCUACAGUGUGCUGAAAUGUGCAGAUGCAGCUGGGCUAAAGGUCUGCUGAAGCUGACGGGUUUGCAGCUCUGUUGUCACAGUAACUGGGUGACUCAAUGUGACAUGCUGUCUUUGGGCCUGAGUCAUGUACACACACCGAAUGCGGCCUACAUUUCCCAAUUUAAGAGAGUAUGUAUUAUGCUGAUUAAUUACUCAGAGAUGGGAUUUUCUGUUGCUUGGGUGUUUUGUGUUUUUUUUCGCCACGGCUUUUGACUAACUUCACUCGCAGAGUCAAAUUUUGGUUAAGAAUUGUUGUCAAGGAAAUUGACGUAAGUAAGCAAAGAAGUUGAAAGAAUUAUA